GCAAAAUUAUACACAUGUAUGGCUAUCAUUAACACUAUUUUGCCAACUGUCUGGCACACUUUCACAUGUGAAAACUGUUUUAGAUAAUUAGUUCACUUUGCAAUCAGCCUAAGCACUAUAAAUAAGCCACAGGUAAGCUGUCUGUGUGGAGUACAAUGGAAGGAGCAGUAAGAGUGAGAAGAGUGAGAAUCAGAGGAGGCAGAGGAGGCCGAGGGAGAGGACGUGGAGGUGAAGAAGCGAGAGGGUUAGAGGAAGUUAGAGGAAGAGGACAAGGAGGAGCAAGAAGAGGACGAAGAGGGGAAAGAGGAAGGGUAAGAAGAGUAAGAAAUAGAAUAACUGAUGACAUCAGAGCUACAAUAGUGGACCAUGUCAUCAACCAUGGGAUGACCCUGAGGAAAGCUGGCCAACGGGUUCAGCCUAAUUUGAGCCGCUACACUGUGGCAAGCAUCAUUAGGAC
ensembl:lncRNA